rnacentral:rRNA from 1 species
UCUGGUUGAUCCUGCCAGUAGUCAUAUGCUUGUCUUAAAGAUUAAGCCAUGCAUGUCUAAGUAUAAGCUUUUAUACAGUGAGACUGCGAAUGGCUCAUUAAAUCAGUUAUAGUUUAUUUGCUGAACGUUUAUAUGGAUAACCGUAGUAAUUCUAGAGCUAAUACAUGCUGGUUGCGCAGUGCGUAGUAUAUAUUAGAUAAAGCCAACGGGCGAGGAGUCAUAAUAUCUGAGCGGACUUCGUUUGAAGUGCAGCAUUGAAGUUUCUGCCCUAUCAGCUUGAUGGUAGUGUAUUGGACUACCAUGGCAAUGACGGGUGACGGAGAAUUAGGGUUCGAUUCCGGAGAGGGAGCCUGAGAAACGGCUACCACAUCUAAGGAAGGCAGGCGCGCAAAUUACCCAAUCCUAACUCAGGGAGGUAGUGACAAGAAAUAACAACGCGGGGCAAAGUCUCGUGAUUGGAAUGAGGACAAUGUAAAAGCCUUAUCGAGGAUCCACUGGAGGGCAAGUCUGGUGCCAGCAGCCGCGGUAAUACCAGCUCCAGUAGCGUAUAUUAAAGUUGUUGCAGUUAAAAAGCUCGUAGUUGAAGUUCUGUACGGACUGAGUCUCCACGGAGACACAAGCCGUACAUCCGUCUGAUUCUUCAGACACUUUACCUUGAGCGAAUUAGAGUGUUCCAGGCAGGCGCCAGCCUGAAUAGUCCAGCAUGGAAUAAUAGAAAAGGACGAAGAGCCACUGUUGGUGCGUGGCCCUUAGUAAUGAUUAAUAGGGAUAGUUGGGGGCAUUCGUAUUUAAUUGUCAGAGGUGAAAUUCUAUGAUUUAUUAAAGACGAACCUAUGCGAAAGCAUUUGCCAAGGAUGUUUUCAUUAAUCAAGAACGAAAGUUAAGGGAUCAAAGACGAUCAGAUACCGUCGUAGUCUUAACCAUAAACUAUGCCGACUAGAGAUUGGAUGGGGAAUUCAAGACCCAUUCAGGAUCUUCCGAGAAAUCGAAGUCUUUGGGUUCUGGGGGGAGUAUGGUCGCAAGACUGAAACUUAAAGGAAUUGACGGAAGGGCACCACCAGGUGUGGAGCCUGCGGCUUAAUUUGACACAACACGGGGAAACUUACCAGGGCCAGACAUGGCAAGGAUUGACAGACUGACAGCUCUUUCUUGAUUCUAUGGGUGGUGGUGCAUGGCCGUUCUUAGUUGGUGGAGUGAUUUGUCUGGUUAAUUCCGAUAACGAACGAGACCUCAGCCUGCUAACUAGUUCGUUCCUGCUUAGGAUCGGGACUUCUUAGAGGGACUUUGGGGGUUACUCCAAGGAAGUUUGAGGCAAUAACAGGUCUGUGAUGCCCUUAGAUGUCCUGGGCCGCACGCGCUACACUGAUGCAGGCAGUAAGUUCCAUGUCAGACAUGUCAUGGGAACCUUCAAACUGCAUCGUGAUGGGGAUUGACUCUUGGAAUUCUUGGUCAUAAACGAGGAAUACCUAGUAAACGCAAGUCAUCAGCUUGCAUUGAUUACGUCCCUGCCCUUUGUACACACCGCCCGUCGCUCCUACCGAUUGAGUGGUGAGGUGAACCCUUCGGACCGCUUACCCGGGAAGUUGUGUAAACCUUACCACUUAGAGGUAGGAGAAGUCGUAACAAGGUU